rnacentral:tRNA from 1 species
AGUCUUAUAUUCAAUAAUGAUAUAAAAUUGCAAAUUUUAAGGUGUAAUAUUUACUAAGGCUU